rnacentral:rRNA from 1 species
GUAACACGUAACCAACGUACCCUCGAGAUCGGGAUAACUGCUGGAAACGGUAGGUAAUACCGAAUAGUCCCCACGGUAGGCAUCUACUGUGCGGUAAACGGUGGCUUCGGCUGCUGUUCGGGGAGCGGGUUGCGGGCUAUCAGCUUGUUGGUGGGGUAACGGCCUACCAAGGCUAUGACGGAUAGCGGGUCUGAGAGGAUGAUCCGUCACACUGGGACUGAGACACUGCCCAGACUCCUACGGGAGGCUGCAGUCGAGAAUCUUCCGCAAUGGGCGAAAGCCUGACGGAGCGACACCGCGUGCAGGAUGAAGGCCUUAGGGUUGUAAACUGCUGUCACGCUAUAGGAACGGCUAUGUGUUAAUAGCGCAUGGAUUGACUAAAGCGAGAGGAAGUACCGGCUAACUCCGUGCCAGCAGCCGCGGUAAUACGGAGGGUACAAACGUUGUUCGGAAUCACUGGGCAUAAAGAGCACGUAGGCGGCUUACUCAGUCGGGUGUGAAAGCCCUCGGCUCAACCGAGGAAUUGCAUCCGAUACUGGUAAGCUAGAGGAUGGCAGGGGUGAGUGGAACUCCAGGUGGAACGGUGAAAUGUGUAGAUAUCUGGAGGAACACCGGUGGCGAAAGCGGCUCACUGGGCCAUCUCUGACGCUGAGGUGCGAAAGCUAGGGUAGCAAACGGGAUUAGAUA